GAGAGUUUGAUCCUGGCUCAGGACGAACGCUGGCGGCGUGCCUAAUACAUGCAAGUAGAACGCUGAAGAGAGGAGCUUGCUCUUCUUGGAUGAGUUGCGAACGGGUGAGUAACGCGUAGGUAACCUGCCUUGUAGCGGGGGAUAACUAUUGGAAACGAUAGCUAAUACCGCAUAACAAUGGAUGACACAUGUCAUUUAUUUGAAAGGGGCAAUUGCUCCACUACAAGAUGGACCUGCGUUGUAUUAGCUAGUAGGUGAGGUAACGGCUCACCUAGGCGACGAUACAUAGCCGACCUGAGAGGGUGAUCGGCCACACUGGGACUGAGACACGGCCCAGACUCCUACGGGAGGCAGCAGUAGGGAAUCUUCGGCAAUGGGGGCAACCCUGACCGAGCAACGCCGCGUGAGUGAAGAAGGUUUUCGGAUCGUAAAGCUCUGUUGUAAGUCAAGAACGAGUGUGAGAGUGGAAAGUUCACACUGUGACGGUAGCUUACCAGAAAGGGACGGCUAACUACGUGCCAGCAGCCGCGGUAAUACGUAGGUCCCGAGCGUUGUCCGGAUUUAUUGGGCGUAAAGCGAGCGCAGGCGGUUUGAUAAGUCUGAAGUUAAAGGCUGUGGCUCAACCAUAGUUCGCUUUGGAAACUGUCAAACUUGAGUGCAGAAGGGGAGAGUGGAAUUCCAUGUGUAGCGGUGAAAUGCGUAGAUAUAUGGAGGAACACCGGUGGCGAAAGCGGCUCUCUGGUCUGUAACUGACGCUGAGGCUCGAAAGCGUGGGGAGCGAACAGGAUUAGAUACCCUGGUAGUCCACGCCGUAAACGAUGAGUGCUAGGUGUUGGAUCCUUUCCGGGAUUCAGUGUCGCAGCUAACGCAUUAAGCACUCCGCCUGGGGAGUACGACCGCAAGGUUGAAACUCAAAGGAAUUGACGGGGGCCCGCACAAGCGGUGGAGCAUGUGGUUUAAUUCGAAGCAACGCGAAGAACCUUACCAGGUCUUGACAUCCCGAUGCUAUUUCUAGAGAUAGAAAGUUACUUCGGUACAUCGGUGACAGGUGGUGCAUGGUUGUCGUCAGCUCGUGUCGUGAGAUGUUGGGUUAAGUCCCGCAACGAGCGCAACCCCUAUUGUUAGUUGCCAUCAUUCAGUUGGGCACUCUAGCGAGACUGCCGGUAAUAAACCGGAGGAAGGUGGGGAUGACGUCAAAUCAUCAUGCCCCUUAUGACCUGGGCUACACACGUGCUACAAUGGUUGGUACAACGAGUUGCGAGUCGGUGACGGCAAGCUAAUCUCUUAAAGCCAAUCUCAGUUCGGAUUGUAGGCUGCAACUCGCCUACAUGAAGUCGGAAUCGCUAGUAAUCGCGGAUCAGCACGCCGCGGUGAAUACGUUCCCGGGCCUUGUACACACCGCCCGUCACACCACGAGAGUUUGUAACACCCGAAGUCGGUGAGGUAACCUUUUGGAGCCAGCCGCCUAAGGUGGGAUAGAUGAUUGGGGUGAAGUCGUAACAAGGUAGCCG
rnacentral:rRNA from 1 species